rnacentral:lncRNA from 1 species
AUUUAGGUGAAUGUAUGUUUUCUUUUUUUCAGGUAUAUAAAUAGUUAAUAAUUACCUCUUGGAGUCACCUUGACUGUCUCUUCAUCUUCCUUAAUAGCUGAAUUUAGACACCACUCCUUUGCUUUUGUCAAGAAUUCUAUGAAGUUUUACAAGACACAUCUAUGAUGCACAGUCUGGAGCAGUGAAGUAGAGGAAGACUACCUCCUUGUCUAGAGGUGGACUACUACCACUGCCACCUACCACUACAUUGCAAUGCGAGCUAUGAGCAGUUUCAGCCUGGUGCACUGAUCAUCUCCAAGACUUUCAUCCAUUAAGUGUUAAGGUAUGUUAUUUAUAUUUUCAGUAAUGAUAUAACUUGGUCUGAAUAUAUCUUGUCUACUGUUCAUAGUUAUAUU